rnacentral:rRNA from 1 species
UACGUAGGGGGCAAGCGUUGUCCGGAAUCAUUGGGCGUAAAGCGCAUGUAGGCGGCUCGGAAAGUCUGGUGUGAAAUCCUGCGGCUCAACCGCAGACUGUCACUGGAUACUGUCGAGCUUGAGUCCGGAAGAGGAGUGUGGAAUUCCUGGUGUAGCGGUGGAAUGCGCAGAUAUCUGGAGGAACACCGGUGGCGAAGGCGGCAUCCUGGACCGACACUGACACUGAGGAGCGAAAGCCAGGGGAGCAAACGGG